GCUUUCCGCGAAUCAGAUGUUCGCGGGAAGCCUGAACAGGAGGGACGGAGGCAGGCAGACAGGUAUACAACCCCAAGAUAGAUUGACAACCACCAGUAUUCAAAAAUCAUGAGAUAUACACCCAAAAGUUAUGACAUUAAAAGAAUCCCAAAGUAGGUGACCACUUCCUAGAGCCCCAUAUGUCAGAAGUGGCGGCUGACAGCUCUCAAGAUGAUCUGCAGCAGAUGGAGGGAAUCUGCUGCCUAUUGUCCCUUCUAUGAGCGGGUGAUCCAAAUCCUGGCAACAUCAGGGAGCCACUGGAGGCAGGGGGAGAAGUACAGCCCUAGCCCCCAUGUAUAAGAACAGGACUGGAGACCCCCUAAAAAGGAGCAGUGGACCAAGGAAGGCAAGCCACUAAAUGCUGAGCUUCUGCUCUUUCAGGACCAAGAAAGGAAGAAAAAUCCUGGAAAGUGUAAAAUGCCUCAUUCAUCUAAAUGAGCACUGGGACAUUAAUAGCAAUUUAAAUGUAAAUGGCUAGGUGAACUAUUUAAUUGCUGAUCAUUUUAGCACAGAUAUCCAGCUAUGAUUAUCAGUGAACACACCAUAAUCAGUGAACACACUAAACUGAAGGGUCAAAUAAUGCAUUAACUUAGCCACCCUAUAAUUGACUAUUGUAUAGAAGAGCAGAUACUAAAACAGCUAUAUUUACCUGU